rnacentral:tRNA from 1 species
UGGGGUUGUGGCUCCAUGGUAGAGCCCUUGCCUAGCACGCGUGAGGCACUGGGUUCUAUCCUCAGCACCACAA